GCUUGUCUCAAAGAUUAAGCCAUGCAUGUCUAAGUAUAAGCAAUUAUACAGCGAAACUGCGAAUGGCUCAUUAUAUAAGUUAUCGUUUAUUUGAUAAUACUUUACUACUUGGAUAACCGUGGUAAUUCUAGAGCUAAUACAUGCUGAAAAUCCCGACUUCGGAAGGGAUGUAUUUAUUAGAUUAAAAACCAAUGCCCCUCGGGGCUCUCUGGUGAAUCAUGAUAACUAGUCGAAUCGACAGGCCUUGUGCCGGCGAUGGCUCAUUCAAAUUUCUUCCCUAUCAACUUUCGAUGUUUGGGUAUUGGCCAAACAUGGUGGCAACGGGUAACGGAGGGUUAGGGCUCGACCCCGGAGAAGGAGCCUGAGAAACGGCUACUACAUCCAAGGAAGGCAGCAGG
rnacentral:rRNA from 1 species